rnacentral:rRNA from 1 species
UACGUAGGGGGCGAGCGUUGUCCGGAAUUACUGGGCGUAAAGCGCACGUAGGUGGCAGUCUAAGAUGGGCGUGAAAUCUCCGGGCUUACCUCGGAGGGGUCGUCCGUGACUGGGCUGCUAGGGGCUGGUAGAGGCAGGUGGAAUUCCCGGUGGAGCGGUGAAAUGCGUAGAGAUCGGGAGGAACACCAGUGGCGAAGGCGACCUGCUGGGCCAGUACCGACGCUGAGGUGCGAAAGCGUGGGGAGCGAACCGGAUUAGAUACCCGGGUAGUCCACGCCCUAAACGAUGGGUACUAGGCGUGGGGGGUAUCGACCCCCUCCGUGCCGGAGCUAACGCGCGAAGUACCCCGCCUGGGGAGUACGGCCGCAAGGUUGAA